GGGAGGUAGCUCAGCUGGUAGAGCACUUGCCUUAUAAGCAUGAGGCCCUGGGUUCAAUCCCCAGCACCA